rnacentral:rRNA from 1 species
GACGAACGCUGGCGGCGUGCUUAACACAUGCAAGUCGAACGGAAAGACCCUGCUUUUGUGGGGUGCUCGAGUGGCGAACGGGUGAGUAACACGUGAGUAACCUGCCCUUGACUUUGGGAUAACUUCAGGAAACUGGGGCUAAUACCGGAUAGGAGCUCCUGCUGCAUGGUGGGGGUUGGAAAGUUUCGGCGGUUGGGGAUGGACUCGCGGCUUAUCAGCUUGUUGGUGGGGUAGUGGCUUACCAAGGCUUUGACGGGUAGCCGGCCUGAGAGGGUGACCGGCCAAAUUGGGACUGAGAUACGGCCCAGACUCCUACGGGAGGCAGCAGUGGGGAAUAUUGCACAAUGGGCGGAAGCCUGAUGCAGCAACGCCGCGUGCGGGAUGACGGCCUUCGGGUUGUAAACCGCUUUCGCCUGUGACGAAGCGUGAGUGACGGUAAUGGGUAAAGAAGCACCGGCUAACUACGUG